UAAAGAUUGCAAAGCAACUCAAUUAGUACAGCAGCUAUCUUAGACAGUAAUGCUCAUCCAGGGUUUAAAAUGCGGAAUGGUGUUUAUUCUUCUUCUCGGUACAUUUCAGUUCAAUACUAUUCUUGGUCAGGAUAUUUAUAAAUGUCUAGAAACAUACCAUAAUAGUAAACCGAGUUAGGUUUGGUUUGGUCUAGUUUGGUGCCUAUACUAUAGUAAUAGAGAUUUUUUGGGUUUGGGAUUUCGGUUCAAGAUCUCUGUUACCUGUGCUCAGCCCAAUGUCCUAGUUUUAUCUUGUCUUGUUCUCUUCCAGUCCAUGCAUAGUCUUAUUCAUAGGCCUAUUUUAAGUUCAUUAGCUGGCUUCUAAGUUCACAUGAUUUUCCUUGAUCAAGUUGCAGAUAGUCCAAUCAUUCUCACAUGUGUAGGAAUAAGUAAUAGCAUAAGUCUGCUCAUUGGUUUGCUUCACUUAGGUGAGGUCUUUCCUUGUGCAGUAUUAGAGUUCAUGAAAGUCUUAUUUAGGAGUCCUAUUCUAGUUAUGCAAAAUGUUCACCCUUUUUUAUACUCCUGUAAGACAGUUGCAGACAGCAAUAGCAGAAACAGCUGCUUGAAAAUAGGGGAAAAUUGGCAGAAUUUUCAAUAUACCUAAUUCCUAACAAGGGAUUAUGAGUGCUAAGCGUCUCUAUGUCUUGUAAGUAAUUUGUGAUUAGGGGUGGGUGUUGGUGGUGGGAUCCAGCAGUUUCUUACAUGAAGGAAAAGAUUUUGUGGUUAAAAUAGCCAUAUCCAAAAAUCGAACAUAUAUGGUGUAUUAUCCAUAUAUGAUCGGGUGGCCUGUGGUUCUGAUCCACAUUUUUCCUCAUACAUUCAAAAUAUUAUCCUUAAAAGUUUUUGUUAUUAGCACUUCCUUGUCUUUAUAGAUUUUUUUCUUUUGACAUUUAAUUAAAUAUCCUUUCGAGAACAGAUGCUGCCAAGUCAUUGAAUCCAGAUUCACGUAAAAAGUCAGGUGUUUCUGCUCAAGGUAAGGUGGAGUCUUUAAAAAAUGCGAUGGAUGGAUUACCUACUGGUAAUGAAUUGCAAACAAAAGCCAGUGGACAUGCGAGGGAGCAAAAGCGUACGCCAAGAGAAAUUACUGGUUCAGAAACAAAGCAAGUGAAGGGAGCUCUUCCUGAAGGCUUCUUUGAUGAUAAGGAAGCAGAUUUGCUUGCUCGUGGCAUUAAGCCUGUUAAGCCAGAUGUUAAAGAUGAGUACAAGGAAUUUGAGAAGUUGAUCCAAGAAGACUUGCAAGAAGUGGAUGACCGUUUAGAAGAAGAGGAGAUUGAUGCAGCUGAAAUGUUAGAAGAGGCCGAAUCAUUGGAGCAAAAGACGUAUAGGGAAAAAGUUGAAUCGCUGAGGAAGAAGCGAAAGGAGUUGAUGGCUGCUAGGUCUGCCAAGCGUAGCAGAGAUUCUAGUGCUGCUGGAAAAGAGUAUAGUCAAGAAGAGCCGUCAAGCGAUGAUGAUAAUGAUGAUAAUUUUGCAGUUGACUGGAGAGCUCAACACCUGUGAGAAAAUUUUCUUCUGUAGGUGCCAGAUUAGGCUCCAUCUUUUAUACUGUUCGAUAUGUGAAUACCAGUAGCUUCUGAAAACAAAAUUGCAGUCAGAAUACAAUGGAUAGCACUGACAACAUUUGCAAAAUUUCCUCUAUUGUUAUGUUUUCAACAAAAUGAAUGGAGAGCUCAAUAACUGCGAGAAAAUUUUAUUAUGUGGAUACCGGAGUAGGCUUACCAUCUUUAUAUCGUUUGAUAUGUGAUUACUAGUAUCUUCCGAAAACGAAAUUGCGGAUAGGUACAAAGAAAAUAAACAAAGCAGCUUCCUU
rnacentral:misc_RNA from 1 species